GAUGAACGCUGGCGGCGUGCCUAAUACAUGCAAGUCGAGCGAACGGACGAGAAGCUUGCUUCUCUGAUGUUAGCGGCGGACGGGUGAGUAACACGUGGAUAACCUACCUAUAAGACUGGGAUAACUUCGGGAAACCGGAGCUAAUACCGGAUGAUAUUUUGAACCGCAUGGUUCAAAAGUGAAAGACGGUCUUGCUGUCACUUAUAGAUGGAUCCGCGCUGCAUUAGCUAGUUGGUAAGGUAACGGCUUACCAAGGCAACGAUGCAUAGCCGACCUGAGAGGGUGAUCGGCCACACUCGAACUGAGACACGGUCCAGACUCCUACGGGAGGCAGCAGUAGGGAAUCUUCCGCAAUGGGCGAAAGCCUGACGGAGCAACGCCGCGUGAGUGAUGAAGGUCUUCGGAUCGUAAAACUCGGUUAUUAGGGAAGAACAUAUGUGUAAGUAACUGUGCACAUCUUGACGGUACCUAAUCAGAAAGCCACGGCGAACUACGC
rnacentral:rRNA from 1 species